UCGAACGAGAGAGAGAGAGAAGCUUGCUUUUCUUACGAUCGAGUGGCAAACGGGUGAGUAACGCGUAAACAACUGCCCCGCAGAUGGGGACAACAGCUGGAAACGGCUGCUAAUACCGAAUACGGUCCUCUUAGCGCAUGGUAAGAGGAAGAAAGGGUGGCCUCUGGAACAAGCUACCGCUGCGGGAGGGGUUUGCGUCUGAUUAGCUGGUUGGAGGGGUAACGGCCCACCAAGGCGACGAUCAGUAUCCGGUCUGAGAGGAUGAACGGCCACAUUGGAACUGAGACACGGUCCAGACUCCUACGGGAGGCAGCAGUGGGGAAUCUUCCGCAAUGGGCGAAAGCCUGACGGAGCAACGCCGCGUGAGUGAAGACGGCUUCGGGUUGUAAAGCUCUGUUAUAGGGGACGAACGGCCGGGUAGCGAAGAGGUAGCCGGCAUGACGGUACCGUAAGAGA
rnacentral:rRNA from 1 species